GAUGAAGAACGCAGCGAAAUGCGAUAAGUAAUGUGAAUUGCAGAAUUCAGUGAAUCAUCGAGUCUUUGAACGCACAUUGCGCCCCCUGGUAUUCCGGGGGGCAUGCCUGUCCGAGCGUCAUUGCUGCCCUCAAGCACGGCUUGUGUGUUGGGCCCCCGUCCCCGGUUUCCCCCGGGGACGGGCCCGAAAGGCAGCGGCGGUACCGCGUCCGGUCCUCGAGCGUAUGGGGCUUUGUCACCCGCUCUGUAGGCCCGGCCGGCGCCAGCCGACACCCAACUUUAUUUCUAAGGUUGACCUCGGAUCAGGUAGGGAUACCCGCUGAACUUAAGCAUAUCAAUAAGCGGAGGA
rnacentral:misc_RNA from 1 species